rnacentral:RNase_P_RNA from 1 species
UGAGUCGGCCGGGCGGUCGCGCCAGGUUCCGGGGCCCAGGUUCCGGGGCCGGUGAGGAAGGUCCGGGCUCCACAGGGCAGGGUGGUCGGUAACGCCGACCCGGGGCGACCCGCGGGACAGUGCCACAGAAAGCAGACCGCCCCGCCAUUCCCCAGGAAAGGCGGGGUAAGGGUGAAACGGUGGUGUAAGAGACCACCAGCGCCGCGGGUGACCGCGGCGGCUCGGUAAACCCCACCCGGAGCAAGGUCAAGAGGGCCGCGCCGCUUCGCNNNNNNNNNNGGGGCGGCCUGCGCGAGCGUUCGAGGGCGGCCCGCCCGAUGCCCGCGGGUAGACCGCACCGAGGCUGCCGGCAACGGCAGUCCCAGAUGGAUGACCGUCGCCCCGCUUGACGCGGGGGCACAGAACCCGGCCUACAGGCCGGCUCACCCA